rnacentral:lncRNA from 1 species
AAAAUACCCGAACCCGACUCGAAGUGUAGAAAUACCCAAACGGGUUCUAUACCAUUAUACUGAAAUACCCGAUACGAACAUGAACGUGUAACCGAACGCCCACUCCUAUAAUAUAUGAUCAUUUGUAUCUUGCUUGAACAAAAAAAAGUUAAACCAUUGAUCACAAAAUUUUUAAUGUGGGACUAUUUUUACUAAUUUAUAGUCGUUUUAAAAAAUUCAAAAUAUAACAUAUAAGAAAAAAUCUAAUUUUUUUUUAUUAUAUGUUUAAUGUGAUUGUUUAAUUUCUUUUAAUAGUAUAAAAUUAAACAAAAAGAGGAGGUUAGAAUUUUUUUUAUCAAAUAUGUAUUAUUCAUAAUCAUUAAUUUUCAUAUAUAUGUUAAUCAUAUUAGGUAAUUUCAUAGCUUUUAUUUAAGGAAAUAAAAAAAUAUUUUUUUGUAUACUUCUAACUAAUUUGAUAGCUAGUUUAAUAAAAAAAUAUAGUAUAUGGUUAUAUGGACCAACUUAUUUUUCUAACAAUUCUAAGAAUCAUUCUCGUGAUGACACGUGACUACGAAAACAUGUUGUAAUGCUCCAAGAUUAAUAUAUAGGGGAUUUGCACCUUAGAAAAAAAUGGACCAAUCACAUUUUUAAACAAUAUUAAAAAAUAAUAUUAUAAAUAUCAACAAACUUUAAUUAUUUGAACUAUGUGGUCCUAAUGUGCUCUAGUGUCAGACUCCGAUUUGGAUGCGCUUCGAUGAAAUAGCCUUUCAUUGUGCCGGA